rnacentral:lncRNA from 1 species
GGAAAAAAAAUUAGAAGAAAACACUUAGAGAUAUUAGAGAUUGAGGGAGAGAGUAUAGAGAAAAUUAUGUUUUCAUAAAGCCAACUCAAACCUCUAAUCAAACAAAAUUAAUCAACUAAGCGCAUGCUAAUCACGUUUUCAGAAAAGCGGACUAAGUGAACGCAAUGUUAACAUCAAAUCUAAUUUACACCAUGCAGUUUCAUCAACUAAGAGAAGACUCAACACCAACUGGGAAACUAAGUGUAUACCCAAUUGCAAGUGCAAAUACAUAUUUAAUAAUAACCAAGUCAGAGUGGCAAUCACAUAUACAGUCCAGAAAUCUCAAAGAAGCAAUGCAAUAUCGCUAAUGACCAACGCAAUAAAUUAAGCUAUCAUGACAACUAAAUUAUCUCUACCACAAAUACAAGACAACAUUAAGACAAAAUAAAAUAAAAUACUAGACCCCAACAAGGUAACAAACAACUACCUAGUACAGUUAAAUUAAAUUAAAUGCAAAACUAAAUUAAAGAAAUCAAAAGCAGCUAAUCCUACUAAUUAAACUAAUUCAAACAAGGAAUAAUCAAACAUGCUUUUUCCUACACAUUCACGUGACCAAAGACAUCCAACCAAAUAAAAUUAAAAAUGCAAAAGGCCUAAGGAAACCUCUUGGCUGCGAGUUACCAUGCACCACAUCCAAAUUUGACUUUCUUUCUUCAUUAAACUAUUCCUUAUGCUCUCUUUUUGUCCCAUGUGCCUCAUUUUCCAAGGAAAUGUUCUCUUCCAACUUUCUCACAAUGAAAAUCGUGCGUUCCUCUCUCCAUGCAGCAAAAUAGAAU